CCCUUGUAUAUUAACAAUAUAUGUUUUGUAAUUCUAUUUUUAUUGUCAUCUUAUUAUCUUCUCAGACCACUCCACUAAAGGUAAGGAGCACAAAUACUAUUAAAAUCAAAAGUACUGCAACCACUCCACUAAUAAAGGUAAAGAGCACAAAUACUAUUAAAUCAAAAGGACACACUGAAAAGCAACUAAAGCGAUAAAUAUUGAUUUCUUAGUUUGAACUUUAACUACUUUUCAUUGAAUGGGCGAGAAUCAUUGAAUAAAGAAGAAGAAGAAGAAGAAGAAGAAGAAGAAGAAGAAGACAAGGUAGAAACACAAUAAUGAGUUGGUGCUUUCUCAGAAGCUAAACUACUUUCACUCUUUUCUCAUACAACUCUCCAAGUCCUAAUUUCUCUGUUCCGGAAUAAAAAUUCUUUGCAAUCUCCAUUGAAGAAUUUGUGUUCACCACAACGAGUUCCUCAUCCUUAUUCCUCUCUAUAUAUACUCUCACCAAUAGUAAAUCAAUUUGACCAAAGAAAUUCGAGUUUGGAAUUGUUGCGAUGGCAGAAGCAGUGGUGUCGACUGCUCUAGAAACCCUGCGCGAUUUGUUGUUGGAAGAGGCAAAGUUUUUAUAUGGUGUGGGCGAUGAAGUGAAGGAGAUCGAGUGGCAGCUCAAAGAGAUGAAGUGUCUCCUCAAAGAUGCCGAUAGAAGACGACAUGAAAGCGAAAUCAUUUUGAAUUGGAUCUCGGAGAUCAAAGAUCUUGUGUACAGAGCGGAAGCUGCCAUUGAAAGACACGCAGCUUAUCAAGUGUUGUCAAGGAGAAGACGAGGUCUCAGACAGCUCGUCCGCAAAUGUACUUGUAGUUUGGAAGAAUACAAGUCGAUCCACCAAUUAGGCUCGGAGAUUUCACCGAUCAAAUCCCGACUUGAAUGGAUAAACAAGGAAAUGUUAGAAAGUGGCAUAAAGAAGAGCAUCAUCAACAAUACAGAUGAAGGGGAAAGCUCGUCCGCCAACAACAGGGCAAGGAAGAGUUUCCCCGAAUUCGAGAUCGGAGACUGUUUUGUGGGGAUGAAGGAUGAGCUCCAGCAGCUUCUUCAUCUCCUAGUGGAAGACGAAAAGCAUCGAGUAAUUUCAGUGUGGGGAAUGGGGGGAUCAGGCAAGACCACCAUUGCCAAAAAGCUCUACAACGAGACCAACACCAGCUUUGAUCUUUGCGCAUGGGUUUGCAUUAGUCAGCAAUGUCAGAGUUUUCAAUCAGUUUGGAAUGAUGUUCUCAUGCAGCUACAGCAUCAAAACACCAAGGAUGGGCCAAAAAUAAGGGAGGAUGUUACAAGUUUGAGCGAGUGGGAGUUGAAGGAGCGACUAUGCAAGAUACAAAGAGAGAAGCGAUGCCUCAUUGUUUUUGACGAUCUUUGGGACACUUCUCAUUGGGAUGGCUUCAAGCAUCCCUUCCUUGUCCAAGAUUUGCAGAGCAAAAUCUUGAUCACCACGCGCGAACGGGAAGUCGCGGAGAUUGGAUGCCCUGUGAAACUUGAGUUUCUAAAAGAGGAAGAUGCUUUGGAACUACUCAAGAAGAAAGCAUUUCCCCACACCAACAUUCCAGAGUUUGCAUUGGAAGAUAAAUUUAAGAAAAUUGGGAAAGAAAUGGUGCAAAAUUGUGGGUAUUUGCCGUUGGCAAUUUCUUUACUCGGUGGGGUCUUGAGAAUAAAAAAUUCGAUGAAGGAGUGGGAGUUAGUAAAUGAGGAUAUCAAAGAAUUCAUUUAUAGAGGUGAUAGUGAGAUUGAUGGAGUGCUAAAUUUAAGCUAUGAAAGUCUACCCUAUUAUUUGAAGUCUUGCUUUCUCUAUAUGGGUAUAUUUCAAGAGGAUGAAGAUAUAAGUGCUAAAGAUCUGUAUCAGAUGUGGAUAGCACAAGGCAUGAUUUCUAUUGGAGACAAGGACAAAAGUUUGAUGGAAAUUGCAGAGCUCUACUUGGGUGAGUUGGCCUCCAGGUCCAUCGUCCAAGUCGAAAUUUAUGAUGGUGUCACACCGGGAAGAAAAUAUAGGGACUGCAAACUUCAUGAUGUAGUAAGAGAACUAUGUUUGAAAUUGGGGAGAAGUGAGGAUUUUGGUGUGCAGAGUUUGGAGUAUCAAAGUGGGAAAGCUUCCUCGCAUAAGAAAAUACGGCAUUUGGCUAUACAUUUCAGGAAAGAAGUUCAAGUGGAACCAGACGAGCUUACAGUCACUUGGGGAGAAGAUAGUAGCGAACAUUUAAGGUCUCUUCAAAUGUUCAAUCACAUAAAUUUGGGUGUUGUUGAGUUUCCCCCGCAGGGUAUUGUUGAUUUUCAGAAAUUCAAAUUGCUGAGAGAUCUAGUUAUGGUGGGAUUCAAAUUUGAAGGAAGAAAGUUAUCGAAAGUAAUCGCUAGUCUUGUUCACCUUAGACGUUUGUGUUUACAAAGAUGUGAUUUUGAUAUGCUACCAUCGUCCAUAAGGAAUUUGGUAUAUAUGGAUACCCUUGAUUUAAGUCUUUCGAAAAAUGUUGAAGUUCCAAAUGUUUUUAAGGAGAUGGUACGUUUAAAGCACUUGUUUCUUCCCAAUUAUGAUGAGGAAAGUAUUGGAAGUUAUCGAUUGACAUUGGACGAGGGAGUGAUUGAGUUGGAGACCCUGUGUUAUUUGGAUAGUAGAGUGCAUGAUUUAAAAUGUGUGAACGGAAUGAAGAAUCUGCGAACUUUCUCAACAAAAAUAUACGACAACGAAAGCUUGUCAGCCAACAUCGACGCCAUUGCUCUCAUGGAAAAGUUACUGUUUUGUAGGGUUGAAAUCGAAAAGGGUUGCGAGUUAGGAACAAAUAAGGGAGUGUUAACGCUGAAGAAGGUAAUCACAUGUCCCAAUCUUCAUUCCUUGUGGAUUCUUGUUAAGUUAGGGAAGGCGCUGGCAGAGUGCGGGAGUGACUUCAUCAGUUCAAAACUUAUAACUUUGGUCAUGUUAGAAUGUGAGAUUGAGGAUGAUCCAAUGGGGAUACUGGGGAACCUUCCUUGCUUGAUAUAUUUGUAUUUAUGGACGAAAUCAUUUGUGGGGGAGGAGAUGACGUGUCCAUCAAACAGUUUUCCUCGCCUCAAGAAUCUUAUGCUAUGGGGGUUACCAAAGUUGAGGGAGCUAGUGGAGAGUGGAGGCAGGAGCCAUGCCCCUUCUCUAUGAAUUGAAGAUCUAUGAUUGUUCCAGUCUGAAGAUGCUUCCAGAUGGUUUGAGUGGCAUUUCUACUCUUCGGAAACUGGAGAUUACUAGAAUGCCGGAAAUGGUGAAGAGGGUAUCGGCAUCAGGAGAGGAUUUCCACAAAGUCAGCCAUGUCCCUUCAAUUAUCAUCCGAGACUAUUGAUGAUGACUAACUAAUCCAGUCUCCACCCGGGGUACUUUUCUCCCCCCCUUGGAGCUACAGUCUUGUUGUUCCAUGUCCCAAGUGUUUCUCUUUAAUUAUUUGCAUUCUUUUCUCUGCAACCUUGUCUCGCUUUAAUCACUUUCUUUCAAAUAAAUGUGUAUAUUUCUUUUGUACAUGGGCGUGGUGGCCAUAUAUAUUCCAUUCCUUGUAUUAUUAAUCUGGACAAUUUAUUCUAGACUUGCUUAGUUUCACAUGGAGUUAUUUUGGUAAGAUUCAGCCCAUGAGCCUUUGCUUGUAACUUCUGCAGAUUUAAGCUUUAUUUGUGUUCU